UUAAACUUUUCUUGUUUCCCAUCAAUCUGAUGGUUUCAGAAUUUGGUUUUUACAAUAAUGUAGCAGGCUAUUUAAUUCAAUUCCACAGAAAAUGGAGGCAAAAUAAAUUCUGCCUCAGCAGGAAUAGGUAGGUUCCCUUUUGGGUUGCUGGCCAGUCAGUGCCGGUUCCAGUGGAGGACCCCUGCAUCACUGGAAUCUCCCUCUUGGCAUCUAAUGUCAUAGCACCAGUAGGAAGCAAGCUGGACUCA